GGAUGUGAGGGCGAUCUGGCUGCGACAACUGUCACCCCAUUGAUCGCCAGGGUUGAUUCGGCUGAUCUGGCUGGCUAGGCGGGUGUCCCCCUCCUCCCUCACCGAUCCAUGUGCGUCCCUCCCGAAGCUGCGCGCUCAGUCAAAGAGGACGACCCCCCUCGCGCCCCCCAGGAGAGGACCGGUCUUCGGUCAAGGGUAUACGAGUAGCUGCGCUCCCCUGCUAGAACCUCCAAACAAGCUCUCAAGAAAAAGCUGUUAUUCCAGUAUUGUUCAUUACAAGAAGAAUAUUACUCCAUUGCAGAAACUGGAAAACUCACUAUCACUGUUGUU
rnacentral:snRNA from 1 species